UCGCUCACUUGCGUCUCAAAGGCUUUAAAGGUUUAAAAGGCCCAAAAAGCUCGUCAGUACUCGUGGAACAAACAAGAGUCGACCGGCUAAGAAUAGGCUCCGUGCCACUAAUCAGUUAAGUCGUUUGGCAAGAGGACGGAACGGCAACAUUAAUAAGUUAAGAGGCGAGGAAGCAGCGAACUAGCCGGAGAGGCUCGGCCUAGGCCUCUGACCCCACUCAGUGCGGAAAACAACUUUGCACGCUAGCGGGUGGAGUUACCGUGUGACAUGCUAGCUCACGACGCUAACUGCGGAUCUACUGGGCAAUUUACAAUGACCAUCCCGGCGAGUCGAGGCGCUCACACGUCAAGUUCCAGAGGAAUGGCCACAAUAGUCUGCACCUCUCUGUCCACCCUUCUCCAGCUGCUCUUCUGUAGCCUGGACUGAAGCCUGAGGAGGGGAAGGUGGAGGAUAGGAAGGAGGUGGAAUAGUAAGACGAGGGAGCGAUGGCAGUGCAGGCCUGGGAGACGUGGGAAGAGGUGGCGGGGUGCCCGAUGUUUCAGUUGGGUGUUGUGAUGUGCGUGCACGAGAGGUGGCGGGUGAGGCGUGCGUACUCCUGAUGCGUAGUGGUUCAGAGGGGCAGUCACUGAUUUGCUCCAGCAAUGAGGGCAUAUCUCCCUCUAUUUUCUCCAGCACUGCCACCAUUUGCUUUUCUAUCUGCUCGAUCACACUGUCCAUUUGCCAGUCGCUUGUCACACUGCUUCCAACUGCUCCAUGAUGCAGCCCAGUCCCAUACAUCCCUACCCCUCGUCCCCGUGUGUAGAGAGUACUAUAAGGACUCCCAUAGGGCCCUGCCAUCCCCAUGCCUACCGUCCCAAUGUCUGUGCUGUAUGGGGUGGUGUGACGGCCCAAACUAGCAGAGCUACCAAUUGCAUAGCAAGCCUGACCUAUUGGAGGACUUGCCCUGGCGAUAUUAAACUCAGCACUAUAUCUGUCUAUUUUCCGGGCAUCCCUAUUCUUUCUCAACACAGGACUAGCUUCACCCCUUAAAUUAACACAGAGACUUGCAUCUACCCCUGGUCCCGGUGCAAUUGCCGGUGUGACUGCUUCUCCCACGGAACUUUCUGCAACUGCCUCAGGUAGUUGAGUCUGACACCAGCUUCCAUCACUCUCAUCUUUCUGUGUGCCACUACCAGCAGCUGUGGGAGGACUAUGGAUUGUUGCAGCCAUCUUACGCUUGCUGUUGGGAUCAGCUUUUCGCCAGGUGGAGAUGAGGGUUCAAGAAUCACAUUUGCCUCCUGUUUUUCCACGUCUUGGUCCACACCUGCUGGUCUAUUUUCAACCAUUAUCUCUAAGGACACACCACUGGAAGUCACCCCUCCUCCGUCAGCGACCCUUCUACCUCCGUUAUUGCUUGCCACCUGGGUUGCCCCCUCCUCAACUUCCCCUGCUUCCUCACUCUUUACCUCAGCUGAACUGUCAAUAACUGACUCAGAGUUCUUCAGUCGCUGCAUGAAGGUGGUGACGCGGAUCGCUUUCUGCAAAAUAUAGAGGCAAAGAAAAUGGAUAAAAUGAUGAUAACAGAACAAUGGAUUUACCUGCUUGUUGUGUUUAACUACUUGUUCCCAUAAACCUUUGACACAAUCAAUGAUUACUGACAGUUGGCUUAAAAGUUAUGCAUUUGACAGUUUGUCAAGGCACAAUCAAAGCGCUGGGAUGUGAUUCUAGUGAAAUGAAUUCUGCAGAUGUGUGUCAUGUAUUUACUUCCAGGUAGAUUUGAUUGAUUUUACCCUGGUUUGAAUCAAUCCAAAGUCUUCCCAAAUACCUCAUUGCUUGCUUGUUGACUUAAAAAACAGAUCUACGUCACAGGCACAAUUAUUAGGCAAAAUAUAUCAUUUAGAUUAAAUUUUACUGAUAAUCAAAUAUAAUGCAAACAAUCAUAGGAAUAUCAAAAUGGUAUAUUUUUUGGCUCAUAUGGGUGAGAGAAUAAGUGCUAGUCUGCCAAAUUAAUAUGGGUGUCAAAAAAAAAAAGGUUUUCGAAUUGUGAUUCUUGUAACAAUUCCUAAUCACCUCAAA